GGCGUCACACCCCGUAACUGGCAGCCCCCGCUCGGUGCUUCUCAUCCGGGUCUCUCUUGCCCGGCGGGCGCCCAGCCCCCGCCGCCCGGGCCCCGCGGACCUGCAAACCCCAGGCCCGGAGCGGAUUGCCCUUGGCGCUUUCCCGGGCUCGGCAGAGGGGUUCCCGGCUGGGAUCUCUGGGGUCGCGCUGGCGAUGCGCAGCGAAGAAAGGCGAGGCGUUGCUCUCCGAGCGCGAGGAGGCGGGAUGCGCUCGCCGGGGUCGCCGGGGCGCCGCUGGGGAACCCGGGCCAGCGAACCCAAGCGCGAUCUCCGCGUGUCCCGGACUCAGAGGCCGGGGCUGCCGGCUCUUUGGCCUUGGAUGGAAAGUGGGGAAUGGGGUAGGGGCCUCCGGACCCCCUAACGUGGAUUACUUGGUGCGUCUCGGCCGGGCUCGGAUGACCCACAACCUCGUCUCCAUCCGUGGAUUGAUGCACAUUCUACCUAACAGUCGCGUCCCUUACCUGUAGGUGAAAUCAGAGGUUCGUGACUGACCUGAGUAGGUGCUUGGAACCGAGAAAGAAGGACAAGAUAAAAGGUCCACACAGUAAGCCAGGUACUCUGAAUGCAAAGAAGAAACACCUGGCCGCACCCCUCCAGCUGCCAGACCUGCGUGGGCCUCAGGAAGGUUCAGGAGGCAUCCAAACACCUGCCAGCACCUGCCUGCCUUCAGUGCACCUGCUCUUUCUCUCCAGGCCGAUGCGCAGUCCGUCUUGGUGUCCAGAUCCAGACAGCUCAGAGGUGCCUCUGUGUCCUCACUGCGGGUGGGUCGCAGGCCUUGAACAUUAAGGCCUGGAAGGCAGGACAGGUAAAGAGCUGUUCCUCUUCACCCACACUUCCCACCAGGAACCUUAGUGGAGCCAAAGUUUGCCACUAGGACCACCACAGGACCUGGCUAAGAUAGGACCAUCUCUUAAGAGGCAAGAGCUCUGGAUUUGAUUGAGAAUUCUUAUUUUGGAGAAUAAAGAAACUUCUGGAUUGGAGAAGACAUUCGAGGAGAAAGCAAAGACCCUUGCCCUGAGGAAUAGUGUCUUGUGUUGACCUGCAUGAACUGGAGGCCACCUACAAUUAAAGAAGAUGCCAGGGUCCCGGGCCUUCUUCUUCCUUCUGGUGGGAAACGUUUCUUCUGCUGCUGCCUGGUCUUAAGACUCCCCUGUACCAGUCCUUGGGAACCAGAGGGCUUUCUGCCCCACCCUUUCUUGCCCCCUGCACCCGCCACGUCUGCUGUGCCUUUGGACUCAGCAGUUCUUCUCAUUCGCUCCAUUAUCUCCCACCCAGAUACAGAGUGAAUAGUUACCUACAUGUAGGUCAGUGGGAUCUUACUUUUUGCUCCUGCUUCUUCUGAGGAGGCCGAUGUUUGCACGUUGCUGUACAAGCAGCCUUGGAAUAGUAUCCCUUCUCAUCUAUGUGGGAUCUGGCCCCCACAGGCUCCAGAGUGUUGCGCAUCUGUGCGGAAAUCCUUCAGGCUCUAAUAUGCUAGGAUGUUGGAGGGGGCUUCGGCAGGGAGCUGGAUCCUGAAGGCUAGCGUCCCCCACGUUCAACUUUCUUGGUUUGGAUCGCAUGCAGGUGUGCGUCUGGAGGAGCAGAAAAUGAAUACGCCUUCGUUUACACAGAUGCAUGGUCCACUGUGAAGACUCUCUUCCUUCCAGCUGGGCAGUUGAGGUCCAUGUCAGAACAUGAUGCUUCAUUACAGAGUAUCCAGCGACCAGAGUUGAUGGUGUUUCUUGAGGACCCUCUCCCUCCAGUGUGUGCUGGUGACACCUACACCCGACCAUAGGUGGGGCCCCACGAAACACAAGUCCUGUUUGUUCCUUUCACUCUGUAGCCACCAUAUAUGUGGCUGAAAACUUUUCCUGGAGACUGAUCGUGGUUCAACCUUGUCCAAAAUGCAGAGCCAGAGAUGUGUGUACUUUCUCUUUCCAAAGCAAAUGGAUGACUUGCCUUUGUAAAAAGAAUUCAAGCCAGACGUAUACAUGUUCCCUGGGUUGUAGAUGCUGCGUAUGUAUGACCAUUUAGUGAUGUCAGUGUCUUGUCAGGGGAGCAAUGGGGUCCAUCUUGGCGUCUCAGAUUCACCACCAAACAAAUGAGGGGAACCUCUGAGGGAUGUUUCGUGCUAUUGAAAUGGGAAGCUUGUUUGUGGGCUUUCACCUUCCUUCCUUGACCAGUAUACACACGCCUCACAUUAGCUUCCUUCGGGUUUUAAGGAAAACAGACCCAUUUAUAUCACCUCUGUAAAUGCUGGUGUGUUUCAGGUUGCCAUGGAAACAACGUAUUGAUAGAAAGGAAACAGUCUACUCAGCAGCUGCCCACCCAGGCCUUCCCAAGAAGCCCAAGUCAUUCAAGAUACCCAGUCUCAGUGGGUGGUUUCCAGGGAUAGCAAAACUGAACCACCAUGCUCACCUUGAUCUUCCGUUGGCAUCAGCACCCGCUGCUCCUGAUUCUAGGAGACUGCCAUGGUGAUGGGCUGAUGGUGACUAUCUGUCCCAGUUUGCCCGGGACUGAGGGAUUUCCUGGGAUGCAGGACUUUUGGUGCUAAACCUGGGGCAGUCCUAAGCAAAUUGGAACAACUGGUCACCCUACUGGAGACUCGAUGACCUUGCCUCUGCUUCUACUUCAUCUGCUGGAACUGGCUGAUGCUCUUGAUUGGCUUGGCCAGAUGCCAUUCAGAGCCCUUGCGUCUGGCCACUUCAUUGGCCACUGGGCAGCCUCUAGAUGGACCAGGCGCACCAACCGAUCUUGACCACAUGAGUUGUUUCCAAGGUGGCAGGACUGCAUGAUACUGAAUCAAAACCUGGCUAUAAAGAACCAGCUGAGACCACAUCCUUCAGAAGCGUGCUGUGGACAGAUGGGCAUGGUUAUUACAGAAUAUUGGGCAGAGUUCCCUGUGCUAUACAGUAGGGGGAUGUGAGUUGGCUGUGGUGGAAACAGGAUGCUCUUUUUCAUGCAGAUAUUCAGAGACUCAGGUUCCUGUCUUAGGACAUCACCAGACCUCUAGCAGUGACACGUCCAAGGAGUAACUUAACCUCAUCUUUAAACUGCUUCGUAAGGUGGUUGCAAGGUUUAGACGAGUUACUGCAGGCGUGGCACUUAGAACGGUGCCAGGGACGCGGCGCUCGAUAAAUGUGGGCUCUUCGCUCUACGCUCUGAACGUGGAACUGUAUGGGCCCAUCUGCCGUGACUCUGGGCUCACGUGAUUUCUGCGCCUGGGUAGCAGGAGACUUCAAAUGCGAACUCCGCCACUACAUCUACGGUUCCCCAGUGUGGACAAGGCAUCGCUGAAUCUCUCCAGCUGUGGGGAGCCCUUUCGGUUGUUUGGUUUGGUUUGGGGGCUAGAGCUGGGUUGCCAGCCGAGAGUAUAGAUGAUGAUGCCUGGAUACUAGCCCUCGGAACGGCGAUUCUCCUUCUUGGGGACCCUCAGCACCACGUCAGCUUCAUCUGACUCUAAUACCGGUCAAGCUUUGUCUCCCCAAGUCCAGGUUCUCUCCAGAACUUGUCAGUUGCCUCAACUGACUAAGGAAGCCCUGCAGACUACUCAAUCAGACAUACGCAUUGAGUUCUUGAAGCCCUUUCUGUUGCCUCCUCUACCCGGGCAGAGAAAGGAGCUGAUCUCACAAGCCAGGCAGGCUUCUCCCCAUUUCCACACCUAGAUUUCACAUCACACCCUUCCUCUCCACUGCAGACCAGUGAGCUCCUCUCUCAGCCCCCCGGCUGGGCGUGGGUUCUUGUAGCUGUGAGACCUCAGUCGCUCAGGAUUCUAGCACCAGCUCGUCUGUUCUGUCUUCGGCUCUCCUGGCGCCGCCGGAGAAUGGAAAAGCUGGUCUGUUUACAGGACAUGGGGCCAGAACAGCAUUAAAAACUAAGGAACAAAUGAAACGUGGUAAACAAAUUUACUUUCCAGUAAGGAGUGCUCCUAGCCCGGUCCUUCAACAGGAACCAUUUUCCUCAUGUGUUUGGAUAAACGUUCAUUCUGGGCAAUUACCAUUCCCAGGGAGCGGCUGCCUAUUUCCGUUGGCUAUUUAUUUUGAUUUUGACCGUUUCUCCCCCUUCUGAGCAUCAGACACCUAAUAGUAAAGAAACUGUGCUCCCUCCCGGGGCACUGGGAGCAACCCCCCAAGCCUUCCUUCUCUCGUCUCUUCCAUCACUCCUUCACCUCCAGACAAGGCAAGGACAUGGCGGGCAUCUUGCCCUGGAUGGAAGCUGCUCUCCGGGGAGAAGGAAGGAGGGAAGGAGGUGAAGCAGAGGAGAGAAAUGGUUUCAAAUAAAAGCUGGAACAGAUACAAAGGUUUGUGUGUGGGUGACCGUCUCUUUGAGAAAGCUCUUCAGCAUGAAUCCCCCUUGUGAGUUUUCGUGGGAGCAGAAAGCCAUUGAUCUCAGGUUUCCUGACCCCAGCAGGUAGCUUAUUGUAAAGCAGUUCAUCCAGAGGGGAAAAAAUACCUUGUUUCAGCAUUUUAAUUUUUUUUCCAGGGCUCUGAACCAGACUUGUAAGAAAGGAGAUAGAGAGGAUUAACUUAUUCUUUCCUAGCUCUGAAAUAGAUGUAACUGGCGGGGGAAAAAAAAAAAAGAAGCAAACAACUUGGAACAAUGAUUAUUCUUGUUUACUUGUUUAGAAAUGCAUAGUUAUGAAGGGCCCCUAUUUGCAUAUUUUAAACUCCCCCUCCCCCUCCUCAUUACCCUCUGCCCUGUUUUCCUUCUGUGCUGGGAUGGAGGAAGGGAAGGCACACCCUAAGCAGACAGUGGUCAGUGUGGGUGAUAACUUACUUUCUGCCUAAGUUCACUUCACUUUCUAAAUUCCUUGCCUUUGCCUGGUUGGAUGAAUUGGUGUUCUUGGUGGUGCUGAAUUCAGAGAGGCCCUGAGGAGCGGAGUGCCGCUGACUCACGGACAAGACACGGGGUGGCUCUGGCUUUGGAGUCCUUAAAAGACUGGACUCAGGGCGGCACCAGGAAGGGGCGGGGGCUGGAGGGUGCGCUCUGCCACCCCACCACAGCUUCCCCACGAGCCCCAGCCUGCAAAUGGCCUUCCCAACUGCCACUCCCAAACCUUCUCCCAGAGACAUCCCAGAGCUGUCACAGGGUCACUUGUCCUGGGCCUUACCUGGGUCACGAGUUGGUGACGUGGGGAAGGGCGAAGCGAGACCUUUCGCCCGUUGGAGGAUGUUGGAGACACUUUCCUCUUUGGAGGAUGUGGGC